GAACGUGGAGGCUCCUUUAUCUAUUCCUUUAAUAAUAUAAUAGAUAGAUAGAUUGCUAAAUAUAUCAUAUUAGGUGGGAGAAAGAGAUACUAUAAAUGAUGAAGUAGGUUUACUAUAUGCUUCCAUGAGAAUUUGUUUUGGUCAUUAAUACUUUGACGAACAAGUUAGUUGCUUCACCCAGCGCGCUUACAAAGGACAGAUAGACGAGAAAAAAGCACAUUAGUGCCCAUUUCGGGUGUUUCUUGUUUGGUAAUUUGGGGAGGCUUGCGUUUCUACUUGUGUCUUGUAGAGUUCCCUUUUCUCGUCAAAGGAUGAGAACUCUGCCAUGAAGUCCAAACUCUCCUUUUCCUUUUCUACUUUUCAAAGUAGCACUUGCAGUUAUGUAAUCCCUUACCCUAUCGAUGAUGCCAGAUAUCCAAUAUUCAGUACAGAAAGUUGGAUUUUGAGGAGAUUUCUGCUGCUGCCAUCAGCGUUUACCAGAUGGAAGGUUUGGAAACCUGGGAACAACAUGCCCGGCAAGCGUACGAGUUCUUUGAUAAGGAGGGUAACCGACCAAUUGUGAUCGACGAGCUCGCAUCGGAACUCGGACUCGGCCCUUCAGUUCCCCUACAUGUUGUUCUCCAAGAUUGGAUCAGACAUCCUGAUGGAAAACUCAGUUUCCUCGGAUUCAUGAAACUAUUGCAUGGAGUUUCGUCCCGUACCAUCCCAAAAACCUGAGAUAAUAACUUCUUUUCUUACAUCAAACCAAGGAAAAAGAGUGAUGACUAAAAUUAAUCUCUGGCUGUCUGGAGAAGCUGCAUGGAACCGGUACAAAGAUUAACAAAGCUGCCCUAGUGUGUAGCGAAAAGCUCUACUGUCAGCAUUUCUCAUUCCCUCACCAGAUGAUUGAUGGUGUGUUUGUAUUCAGGUUUGUUUUAGAGGCGAGUGUACAGAUGAGUUUAGGAAACAGGAAGAAAGUAGUGGUACAUGAGUUCUACUCCGGUGCUUUCUACUUAUAGUAGAAAAUAAUCUGAACCACUAAUCUCAUUUGAUCAAAGGGUUUAGAUCAAUUUCUACUACCACCUUAUUUAAUGGUAGUAGAAUCGUGGAUGGCUAUUAUUGUCCAAGAACAAAUAUUAGUGGAGGGGUAUAAUCAUCAUUUACAAUCACUGGCCCUAGCCGUACUCAACUCAAUCUUUCCUCACGUCGGCCAAAGAGAAUCGCAUAACUCCCCCAAAUUGCAUCCGGAGACGACGCCGAGUAUCUCCUCCCUGCCGCCGCCUCCGCCACUCGAUAGAAGUACACCAACGCCGGGGCGCACGUGUUCGUGACGAUGCUCCUGACCGUGGUGUUCACGGCAGCUGUGGCGUUGGCUCUUGUCAACGCCGUCAACUCGCAUGACUUCGCAGCACACCUCGCCGGCGUGGACUGCCGCAUGGGGCUAGCUGGUCCAGUACGAUGCCCAGCCUCGGGCUUCGUGGAGCUCCUCGUGCUGGCGCUACAUGUGGUUAGAUGCGUGCUCGCCAUCUUAGAUCGCCUGCAUGCCUGCCUAAUGUCGCCCUCGCUACAGCUUUCGAUUGCAUCUCCAUGUACGUGCGCCGGUGGCAGCGCGGCGAAGUGACCAAUGUACAUGAAGUAUACGUGCUAAGUAGGAUCGAAUUUGUUCCUUAUAUGGUGAACACUAACAGAAAA